GUCAGUGGUGACUCAGUGGUUAAGACAUUGGGCUUCUGAUCAGAAGGUCAUGAGGUCAAACCCCAUCACUGCCA